CAGUCGCCGCGGUAAUACGAGGGGUGCAAGCGUUAUUCGGAUUGAUUGGGUGUAAAGGGUGUGCAGACGGCUUAUUAAGUCACUUGUUAAAUUCUUCGGCCUAACUGAAGGUCUGCAAGUGAUACUGAUGAGCUAGAGGGUGGAAGAGAGAAGUGGAAUUCUCGGAGUAGCGGUAAAAUGCGUAGAUCUCGAGGAACACCGAUGGCGAAGGCAGCCCCCUGGGCCAAUACUGACGCUCAUGCACGAAAGCGUGGGGAGCAAACAGGAUUAGAUACCCCAGUAGUCCCUGUCUCUUAUACAC
rnacentral:rRNA from 1 species